AUUGAACGCUGGCGGUAUGCCUAACACAUGCAAGUCGAACGUCAAAGGUCUUCGGAUUGAGUAGCGUGGCGGACGGGUGAGUAAAGCGUGGGAAUCUGCCUUGCAGUGGGGGAUAACCCGGGGAAACUCGGGCUAAUACCGCAUACGCCCUACGGGGGAAAGGGGGCUUUUAGCUCUCGUUGCAAGAUGAGCCCACGUCCGAUUAGCUAGUUGGUAGGGUAAAAGCCUACCAAGGCGACGAUCGGUCGCUGGUCUGAGAGGAUGACCAGCCACACUGGGACUGAGACACGGCCCAGACUCCUACGGGAGGCAGCAGUGGGGAAUAUUGGACAAUGGGGGAAACCCUGAUCCAGCAAUACCGCGUGUGUGAAGAAGGCCUGCGGGUUGUAAAGCACUUUCAGUGGGAAAGAAAACCUGGUGGUUAAUACCCAUCGGCUUUGACGUUACUCACAAAAGAAGCACCGGCUAACUCCGUGC
rnacentral:rRNA from 1 species